UGAGCACCUGCUGUAUGUCACUCACCAGGCUUCACACUAGGAAUACACAGAUGAACAAGACACCGCGACUUUAGGAGACCACAGGAAGUCACCAGCCUCCCUGGACGGGCUCCUCUGGUGUUUAAGUCCCUGGACUCCCUGGUACAGAAUUUUCUCCUCUUCGAGAAGAGAAUCUUUUCCUCCUCAGACAUCUAUACCCUUUAUCAUCCAUGCUGGAUACAUAAGAGAUUUCCUAAGUGAAAGAGAUACGAAAAAUCUGCAGUUUUCCAUAACCACGGCGAGACUGUACUUCAGAAAAGAACGAACAGACACCUCCACCAGCAGGGUAGGAAAGUGGUUUUCCUUCCAUCUUUCCACACUCACCAAAAUCAGGUAUUAGCAUUUGUUGCAGGAAAGGGGGGAUGGGAGGGAGGCGAUGAGGAGCAAUUUAAUAGGGAGAAACGACAACUUGUUUAAAUGGUAAUUUCUUUGCUUACGUGUUGAAGUUGAGCAUUUUCCACAUGCUGGUCAUUAGCUGGAUUCUCACAAAUCCUCUACUCCUAGGAGUCUAUGAUUGGGACAGAGUUUGACGCCUGAUGUGAACGGGAUUCGGUUUAAAACGCUACCAGAGUCUAUGAAGCCGAGAAUCUCGCGCAUGCGUCCUCCGGGGCCACGAACUUCACGGGGAGACGGCUCUCUUCCAACCGCGUGAUUUACAGAAGACCGGGACUUAUCUCUUGACCAAUGAACAUUCGCCAAGAAUCCCUCCCGGUCCUUCCGCCAAUGAACUUCCUGCUUGGACUCUGGCCGGACUUGCCCUUCUUUGUGCUCCUUGCCUUUAAGUAGAGCCACCCCAAGCCUUGGCACUGGCUACAAGCUCGCUACGGCCUCCGUAUCCCGAAUCGGAGUUCUUAUGCUAUUCCUGAAUAAACGUAGUUUCUGGUCAUUCA
rnacentral:lncRNA from 1 species